AUUAUCAAUAAAUGUUUCUCUUAUUCUCCUAUAAUCCUUUCCAUCAUAUAGCUCUGCAAUUUCUUUGAAUUCGCAUUUCAUCCGAAAGAUAAAAGAGAUCAUUCUGUAAUCUUCUCACCAUAAAUUCUUUGAACAAAAAUAAUACCUGAGAAUUGUCAAAGCAAUGAACAGUGUUGAAAAUAAUCUCUGCUUUCGUGCAUGAACAGCUUCAUCUAUGAAAGUGGAGCUCAAGAAAAUGGGGGAAAUAAGACGAGACAAUUAAGUCAUGUCCAUAAAAACACCUCCACCAACUCAUUAUGAUGUCUCAAAAGACAAUGCUGUAAUUCAUAAUAAAGGUUUGUGUUUAAAAAUACAAUUACUUUCAAUUUAAAGAUUAACUAAAUAAAAUACAACAAUGAAAAAAAAAGGCUAUUAUUAAUCAAAACACUACCUUUGGUAUACUUCCUUGAUUUGAUUUUGAGAUAAUCUCAUCACUCUUUAAAAAGUUUAUGUCUCCUUCUUCCUCGUCUUCAUCUUUCACAACCAAACCUAUUAUUUUUGUCAUUGACUAAAGUUCAGUGCCCUCAAUGAGAAAACUCUACGAAUCUCUGCCUUAUAUAGANGAAAAAAUGAUGAAUAC
rnacentral:lncRNA from 1 species